rnacentral:rRNA from 1 species
GACGAACGCUGGCGGCGUGCCUAAUACAUGCAAGUAGAACGCACAGUUUAUACCGUAGCUUGCUACACCAUAGACUGUGAGUUGCGAACGGGUGAGUAACGCGUAGGUAACCUGCCUGGUAGCGGGGGAUAACUAUUGGAAACGAUAGCUAAUACCGCAUAAUAUUGAUUAUUGCAUGAUAAUUGAUUGAAAGAUGCUAUUGCAUCACUACCAGAUGGACCUGCGUUGUAUUAGCUAGUAGGCGAGGUAACGGCUCACCUAGGCGACGAUACAUAGCCGACCUGAGAGGGUGAUCGGCCACACUGGGACUGAGACACGGCCCAGACUCCUACGGGAGGCAGCAGUAGGGAAUCUUCGGCAAUGGACGAAAGUCUGACCGAGCAACGCCGCGUGAGUGAAGAAGGUUUUCGGAUCGUAAAGCUCUGUUGUAAGAGAAGAACGGGUGUGAGAGUGGAAAGUUCACACUGUGACGGUAGCUUACCAGAAAGGGACGGCUAACUACGUG